GACGAACGCUGGCGGCGUGCUUAACACAUGCAAGUCGAACGGAAAGGCCCUGCUUUUGUGGGGUGCUCGAGUGGCGAACGGGUGAGUAACACGUGAGUAACCUGCCCUUGACUUUGGGAUAACUUCAGGAAACUGGGGCUAAUACCGGAUAGGAGCUCCUGCUGCAUGGUGGGGGUUGGAAAGUUUCGGCGGUUGGGGAUGGACUCGCGGCUUAUCAGCUUGUUGGUGGGGUAGUGGCUUACCAAGGCUUUGACGGGUAGCCGGCCUGAGAGGGUGACCGGACACCGUGGAGCUGCGCUACCGCCGAGUCCCCGACUGCAGGCAUGAGUGGGUAAUACUGAGCAGUGGGCGUGCGCAGGAAGCUGCACCGCCGCGUGCGGGAUCACGCCCUCCGGGUUGUAAACCGCUGGCGCUUGUGAGGAAGACGUAGUAACGCUAAUGGGUAAAAAAGCACCGCCUAACAACGGGCAAGCAUCCGCGGUAAUGGAGCACGACCACUCGUCGAAC
rnacentral:rRNA from 1 species